AUUGAACGCUGGCGGCAGGCCUAACACAUGAAAGUCGAACGAAUGGCAGAGGGGUGAGUAAUGUCUGGGAAACUGCCUGAGAGAAGGGGAUAACUACUGGAAACGGUAGCUAAUACCGCAUACCAUCAGAUGUGCCCAGAUGGGAUUAGCUAGUUUGUGGGGUAACGGCUCACCAAGGCCACGAUCCCUAGCUGGUCUGCGAGGAUGACCAGCGACAGUGGAACUGAGACACGGUCCAGACUCUUACGGGAGGAAGCAGUGGGGAAUAGUGCACAAUGGGCGCAAGACUGAUGCAGCCAUGCAGCGUGUAUGAAGCAGGCCUUCGGGUUGUAAAGCACUUGUCGCGGGGGUGGGUUAACCGCCGAAGAAGCACCGGCUAACCGUGUGUCAGCCGCCGCGGUAAUUC
rnacentral:rRNA from 1 species